rnacentral:piRNA from 1 species
UUGUACCAAUGUGCCUCUGCAAAGCCAUC